UUUUUUUUUUUUUUUUUUUCUUUUGAGACGGAGUCUCGCUCUGUCGCCAGGCUGGAGUGCAGUGGCAGGACCUGGGCUCACUGCUAUGGGCUCACUGCAAUCUCCGCCUCCCAGGUUCAAGUGAUUCUCCUGCGUAAGGCUCCUGAGUAGCUGGUAUUACAGGGGCCUGUCACCACACCCAGCUAAUUUUUGUUAUUUUUAGUAGAGACGGGGUUUCACCAUGUUGGCCAGGAUGGUCUGGAUCUCUUGACCUCGUGAUCGGUCUGCCUUGGCCUCCCAUAGUACUGGGAUUAGGGGCGUGAGCCACCGUACCCGGCCUGCUUCCUAUUUUAACAGAUGAAGUAGUGGAAUGACUUCCAGCAACAGAGGUUGGAGCUGAAGGAGUGCCCAGGCUGGGAACGGAGGAAGGACGUGCUCGGGAGAAGGUGAAGAUGGGAGAGAAGCAAGAUCUAUGUGUUUGGACCAAGGACACAUUUCCUUACUCCAUAGCAACUGUGGUCAGUGGCUUAGCUCGGACAAGGAGAUGAGAGCCCAUGUGUUGUGAGGGUUCUUCUGGGAACUCUGAGAAGGCAGGGGCCGCCCACUGCUGCCUCUCUUCCAUUCUGCAGCAGGGAAUAUGGAUGUGUGGUCUGGAUGUACAGACACCAUUUUGGACCAUAAAGACAAGGACGAUUGUCUAAGGAUGGCACAGCCAGAGCACUGGGAGUGGCGAGAAGGACAGGGGAGCUGCUGUGCCAAGCAGGACUGUCUGUCUCUUAAGAUAAAAAUAAAAUUUAUUGGUAUUUAAACCAUU